GAUGAACGCUGGCGGCGUGCUUAACACAUGCAAGUCGAGCGAAGCAGUUAAGUUGAUUUCUUCGGAUUGAUUCUUAAUUGACUGAGCGGCGGACGGGUGAGUAACGCGUGGGUGACCUGCCCCAUACCGGGGGAUAACAGCUGGAAACGGCUGCUAAUACCGCAUAAGCGCACAGAGCUGCAUGGCUCAGUGUGAAAAACUCCGGUGGUAUGGGAUGGGCCCGCGUCUGAUUAGGCAGUUGGCGGGGUAACGGCCCACCAAACCGACGAUCAGUAGCCGGCCUGAGAGGGCGACCGGCCACAUUGGGACUGAGACACGGCCCAAACUCCUACGGGAGGCAGCAGUGGGGAAUAUUGCACAAUGGGGGAAACCCUGAUGCAGCGACGCCGCGUGAGCGAAGAAGUAUUUCGGUAUGUAAAGCUCUAUCAGCAGGGAAGAUAAUGACGGUACCUGACUAAGAAGCCCCGGCUAA
rnacentral:rRNA from 1 species